AUACGUAGGGGGCGAGCGUUGUCCGGAAUGACUGGGCGUAAAGGGCGUGUAGGCGGCGGUGUAAGUCUGGAGUGAAAGUCCCGCAUUCGAUGUGGGAAUUGCUUUGGAUACUGCAGAGCUAGAGUGCGGAAGAGGUAAGUGGAAUUCCCAGUGUAGCGGUGAAAUGCGUAGAGAUUGGGAGGAACACCAGUGGCGAAGGCGACUUACUGGGCCGUAACUGACGCUGAGGCGCGAAAGCGUGGGGAGCGAACAGGAUUAGAUACCCUGGUAGUCCACGCGGUAAACGAUGAAUGCUAGGUGUUGCGGGUAUCGACCCCUGCAGUGCCGGAGUAAACACAAUAAGCAUUCCGCCUGGGGAGUACGGCCGCAAGGUUGAAACUCAAAUGAAUUGACGGGG
rnacentral:rRNA from 1 species